AUCAGUGGAAAGGCCACAUGAGGACAAAGCAGCCUUCUAGCAGCCAGAAGGAGAGCCCUCACCAGAAACUGAAUACUGCUGGAAUCUUUAUCUUGAACUCUCCAGCCUCUAGAAUGAUGAGAAAAUAAAGGCCAAGUGCACACAGAGCACCUCACUGGAAGAAUCUGAGUCACCUCAUCCUUCUGAAACAAUUCUGGAAGUCUACCACCAUCUGCACAGCUUUCGUGGCAGCAAAGUAAUCCAGGGAAAAAGAAGCAAAUAAGACUGGCUCAGGGAAACACAGCAAGUAAGUGAAAAAUCCUUGAAUUAAACAAUUUAAGAAGACAUUGAGUGUGGGAGCUUAGAAGAGUGGGUAAAGUAAAAGAAGAAAGAAAACCUCAAAUACAAAAUCAAUGUAAACAGACAUCUUGCUCAGAUGGCUUACCCUGUUGUUACUUAUCUAGUAUUUAAAUGUCCAAGUGUCUGUUUCUUUGGAGAAAAAAACUUUAUAGAAAGUACCUCCUUCAUAGCGCUGUUUAUAAGAAAAUGCGCAUCUGACAGGAAGUCUGUUUUUUGAGGACUGUGAUCUGUAGAGAAAACACUUAGAAGGACACAAUCAAAGUCAAAAGCCUAUACCUUUUGUGGAUAAGUGAUCCAAACCUAAGACAGUUACAAAGAAAAUGGCUCUCAGCUGUUUACAGCUAGACUUCAGGCCUUCUAUGGAUUUCUUUGGCAUUACCUCACUAAUAAAUCAUCACUUGACAUUUAAUAAUACCUGAUAAAAUUA
rnacentral:antisense_RNA from 1 species